rnacentral:rRNA from 1 species
AUUUUGGGUUAAGUUACGCAAGGAGCGCCACCCUUAUCCUUUAUUGCCAACCGUCCGGCCGGGAACUCAAAGGAGACUGACAGUGAUAAACUGGAGGAAAGUGGGGGUGACGUCAAGUCAUCAUGGCCCUUAAGACCAAGGGUUAACCCGUGCUACAAAGGGGCCGUCCAAGGGAUAGGACCUCGGGAGAGCAAGCGGACCCCAUAAAGUGGUUUGUAGUCCGGAAUGGAGUCUGCAAAUCGAACUCCUGAAGUCGGAAUCCCUAGUAAUCGUGGAUCAGAAUUCCCCGGUGAAUACGUUCCCGGGCUUUGACACACCGCCCGUCACACCAUGGAGUGGAUGCAAAAGAAGUAGGAAGCUUAAAUCUUUGGUAGGCGGUUUCGUAUAGGUGUUUCCU